GGCAUGAGUAGGUGACUUGCGUUAAGUGUUAGAGAAUGGGACGUUGUCUCUAAACGAAAGGAUUUAAUCCUGCGGUAGGUCAUCGCGUCCGCUGCU
rnacentral:ncRNA from 2 species